rnacentral:rRNA from 1 species
CUACGGGGGGCACCAGUGAGGAAUAUUGCACAAUGGGGGGAACCCUGAUGCAGCAACGCCGCGUGGAGGAUGACGCAUUUCGGUGUGUAAACUCCUUUUAUAUGUCAAGAAAAUGACGGUAGCAUAUGAAUAAGCACCGGCUAACUCCGUGCCAGCAGCCGGGGUAAUACGGAGGGUGCAAGCGUUACUCGGAAUCACUGGGCGUAAGGGACGCGUAGGCGGGUUGGAAAGUCAGGUGUGAAAUCCUACAGCUUAACUGUAGAACUGCACUUGAAACUUCUAAUCUAGAGUAUGGGAGGGGGAGAUGGAAUUAGUGGUGUAGGGGUAAAAUCCGUAGAUAUCACUAGGAAUACCUAAAGCGAAGGCGAUCUCCUGGAACAUUACUGACGCUAAGGCGUGAAAGCGUGGGGAGCAAACAGGAUUAGAUACCCCCGUAGUC